rnacentral:rRNA from 1 species
AUGCAAGUCUGAGCGCUGUAGCAAUACAGAGCGGCGCACGGGUGAGUAACACGUGGGAACGUGCCCUUUGGUUCGGAAUAACUCAGGGAAACUUGAGCUAAUACCGGAUGAGCCCUAACGGGGAAAGAUUUAUCGCCGAAGGAGCGGCCCGCGUUGGAUUAGCUAGUUGGUGGGGUAAAAGCCUACCAAGGCGACGAUCCAUAGCUGGUUUGAGAGAACGACCAGCCACACUGGGAAAAAAAAAAAAAAAACCCCCUGGAAGACACCCGGCCAGACUCCUACGGGAGGCAGCAGUGGGGAAUCUUGGACAAUGGGGGAAACCCUGAUCCAGCCAUGGCCGCGUGAAGUGAUGAAGGCCCUUAGGGUUGUAAAACUCUUUCGGCGGGGACGAUAAUUGACGGUACCCGCAGAAGAAGCUCCGGUAACUUCGUGCCAGCAGCCGGGGUAAUUACGGAAGGGGGCUAGCGUUGUU